GCUGGGUGUGGUCGCCCGUGCCUAUAAUCCCAGCUAUUUGGGAGGCUGAGGCAGGAUAAUUGCUUGAACCCAGGAGGCAGAGGUUGCAGUGAGCCGAGAUUGAGCCAUUGCACUCCAGCCUGGGUGACAGAGCAAUACCCUAUCUUAAAAAGAAAAAAAAAGGAAAUAUAUCUUUUUUUUUUUUUUUUUUUUGAGACAGGCUCUCACUCUGUCACCCAGGCUGGAGUGCAGUGGCGCAAUCUCGGCUCACUGCAACCUCUGCCUCCUGGGUUCAAGCGAUCCUAUUGCCUCAG
rnacentral:SRP_RNA from 1 species